rnacentral:rRNA from 1 species
GUAUUCAAACUAACUUUUAAAGAGAGUUUGAUCCUGGCUCAGGACGAACGCUGGCGGCGUGCCUAAUACAUGCAAGUCGAACGAACCGAUGAAAAGCUUGCUUUUCU